rnacentral:misc_RNA from 1 species
GAAAUUUACAACAAAUUUUCAUCUCGAGAACCAGUCGAUACUAGUAACACACUAAGCACUGUAUAAAUACGGUGAUUAAUACGUACAUGUCCUAGUGAUCAUCAAACCCUGCGGCGACGAUCAGUCGGACUCCUGCAGGCCGGCGAGGACGACGGAGCCGACGAAGAGGCCGGCGGCGGCGGCGAGGAGGACGGCGGCGAG